GACGAACGCUGGCGGCGCGCCUAACACAUGCAAGUCGAGCGGGAAGCUUUUUUAAGGAUUCUUCGGAUGAAUUAAAAGUGGAGAGCGGCGGACGGGUGAGUAACGCGUGAGAAACCUGCCCUAUACAGGGGGAUAGCCAUUGGAAACGAUGAUUAAUACCCCCAUAUGACCACAGUAAUCGCAUGAUACAGCGGUGAAAAACUCCGGUGGUAUAGGGAUGGGUCUCGCGUCUGAUUAGCUAGUUGGUGGGGUAACGCCUACCAAGGCGACGAUCAGUAGCGGCCUGAGAGGGUACCGGCACACUGGAACUGAGACACGGUCCAGACUCCUACGGGAGGCAGCAGUGGGGAAUAUUGCACAAUGGGCGAAAGCCUGAUGCAGCGACGCCGCGUGAACGAUGAAGGCUUUUCGAG
rnacentral:rRNA from 1 species